CUUGUCCUAUCCCAAACACUUUCUUCUUCUGCUUUAUUCUCAGUUGGUGUUUUCUUUGGAACAAGUUGUCCCACCCAGGUGUACUUGUCCAUAAAUUUAUAUUUCCAGUCUUGCAGAAUUUCAAGUUAAGCGUCACUAAGGCCUUCGAGGCUCCCAUUAAAAUCUUCAGGUUUGAAUGAUAACUGAGCUAAUGCUCAGCUUGCAUCUCUUCUAACAAACAUUGAAUAUGAACCACCAGGACCAUAGAACAUCUUGGAGGUAGAUACAGUGUAGAUCUUUCCUUUGAUAGCCAUCGAAAAUGGUUUUUCUGAGUCAGAGCCAUUAUAAGCUCUAAGUUCCUCUUUCGUCAUGUCACCAAGGUUGAGAGACUGUCUUUUGAUAGGAACAAAGUCAUCACUAGAGAAGAACAUGCCACAAACAACUUUGUAAGUCACAACCAUCAACGCUACGAUGGUGAAGAACGUUGUCGACCAUAACCCCGUGUACUGUAAAAUGAUCUCUGCCGUUGUCGUCCAUACCGCCGUUGUCAUUCUUCUCUUUUUAGUUUGGUGGAGAAAGAGGAAAAAUAAGUUGGAAUGCCUACCAACUUUUGAGCUACAAUGCACUCCUAUACUUACUACUACACUACAACCCAAAUACUUUUCCAAUAUCAAACUAGUUCAAUCAGCUAACAAUACUAUUACUACAUCAAGCAAAAAUCAAAUUUUUUUCUAGUUACUAAUGAUGUUUCAUAGAGUAAAGUAAUACAAUUCAAAUUAACAUUCUAACACUCAAAAUAGUAUAAUUCCAAGAUAUCAAAGACCCCCCCACAUAAAAGAGCAGCAAGAAUUUGCAGUCAUGGAUGACUGUCUUUCUGUAGUCCAUGUUGUUCAACAAUUUUAAUCUCUUGCAGCAUAUCUGCUUUUGAUGCCUUUAGCACUUGUCGUAUCCCAAAACUUUCUUCUUCUGUUUUAUUCUCAGUUGGUGUUUUCUUGAGAACAAGUUAUCCCACCCGAGCGAACUUGUCCAUAAAUUUAUAUUCCCAGUCUUGCAGAAUUUUAAGUUGAGCGUCACUAAGGCCUUCAAGGCUCCCAUUAAAAUCUUCAAGUUUGAAUGAUAACUGAGCUAAGGCUCGGCUUGCAUCUCUUCCAGCAAGCAUUGCAUAUGAACCACCAGGACUAUAGAACAUCUUGGAGGUAGAGACAUCGUAGAUCUUUUCUUUGAUAGCCAUCAACAAUGGUUUUUCUGAGUCAGAGCCAUUAUAAGCUCUAAGUUCCUCUUCCGGCAUGUCACCGAGGUGGAGAGACUAUCUUUUGAUGGGAACAAAGUCAUCAGCAGAGAAGAACAUGCCACAAACAACUUUGUAAGUCACAACCAUCAACGCUACAGUGGUGAAGAACGUUGUCGGCCAUAACCCCGUGUACUGCAAGAUAAUCUCUGUCAUUGUCGUCCAUACCGCCGUCGUCAUUCUUCUCUUUUUAGCUUGAUGGAGAAAGAGGAAAAAAUAAGUUGAAAUGUCUAUCAAAUUUUGAGCUGCAAUGCACUCCUAUACUUACUACUAUAAUUAGCUAACAAUACUAUUACUACAUCAAGCAAAAAUCAAAUCUUUUUCUAGUUACAAAUGAUGUUUCAUAUAGUAAAUGACCUACCAUAGUAAAACAAUUCAAAUUCACAUUUUAACACACAAAAUAGUAUUAUUUCAAGAUAUCAAAGACUCACCACAUAAAAGAGCAGCAAGAAUUUGCAGUCUACUCUCCUGCAGCAUAUCUACUUUUGAUGCUUUCAGCACUUGUCCUAUCCCAAACACUUUCUUCUUCUGUUUUAUUCUCAAUUAGUGUUUUCUUUAAAAAAAGUUGUCCCACCCAGGCGUACUUGUUCAUAAAUUUAUAUUCCCAGUCUUGCAGAAUUUCAAGUUGAGCGUCACUAAGGCCAUCAAGGCUCCCAUUAAAAUAUUCAGGUUUGAAUGACAACUGAGCCAAGGCUCGACUUGCAUCUCUUCCAACAAACAUUGCAUAUGAACCACCAGGACCAUAGAACAUCUUAGAGGUAGAGACAUCGUAGAUCUUUCCUUUGAUAGCCAUCAACAAUGGUUUUCUGACUAAGAGCCAUUAUAAGCUCUAAGUUCCUCUUCCGUCAUGUCACCGAGGUGGAGAGGUUAUCUUUUGAUGGGAACAAAGUCAUCAGCAGAGAAGAACAUGCCACAAACAACUUUGUAAGUCACAACCAUCAACGCUACAGUAGUGAAGAACGUUGUUGGCCAUAACCCCGUGUACUGUAAGAUGAUAUCUGUCAUUGUCGUCCAUACCGCCGCCGUCAUUCUUCUCCUUUUAGUUUGGUGGAGAAAGAGGAAAAAAUGAGUUGGAAUGCCUACCAACUCUUGAGCUGCAAUGCACUCCUAUACUUACUACUACACUACAACCAAUCAAAUACUUUUCCAAUAGCAAACUAGUUGAAUCAGCUAACAAUACUAUUACUACAUCAAGCAAAAAUCAAAUCUUUCUCUAGUUACUAAUGAUGUUUCAUAUAGUAAAUGACUUACCAAAGUAAUACAAUUCAAAUUAACAUUUUAACACACAAAAUAAUAUAAUUCCAAGAUAUCAAAGACCCUCCACAUAAAAGAGCAGCAAAAAUCUGCAGUCAUGGGUGGCUGUCUUUCUGUAGUCCAUGUUCUUCAACAAUUCUACUCUCCUGCAACAUAUCUGCUUUAGAUUCCUUCAGCACUUGUCCUAUCCCAAACACUUUCUUCUUCUGUUUUAUUCUCAGUUGGUGUUUUCUUUGGAACGAGUUGUCCCACCCAACCAUACUUAUCCAUAAAUUUAUAUUUCCAGUCUUGCAGAAUUUCAAGUUAAGCGUCACUAAGGCCUUCGAGGCUCCCAUUAAAAUCUUCAGGUUUGAAUAUAACUGAGUUAAGGCUCAGCUUACAUCUCUUCUAACAAACAUUGCAUAUGAACCACCAGUACCAUAGAACAUCUUGGAGGUAGAGACAUCGUAGAUCUUUCCUUUGAUAGCCAUCAAAAAUGGUUUUUCUGAGUCAAAGCCAUUAUAAGCUCUAAGUUCCUCUUUCGUCAUGUCACCAAGGUUGGGAGACUGUCUUUUGAUGGGAACAAAGUCAUCACCAGAGAAGAACAUGCCACAAACAACUUUGUAAGUCACAACCAUGCUACGAUGGUGAAGAACGCUGUCGACCAUAACCUCGUGUACUGCAAAAUGAUCUCUGCCGUUGUCGUCCAUACCGCCGUCGUCAUUCUUCUCUUUUUAGUUUGGUGGAGAAAGAUGAAAAAUGAGUUGGAAUGCCUACCAACUAAGUUUUGAAAACACUUUUAAAAAACAUUUUUUUUUGAGUCUAUCCAAACGAGCUCUAUAUCCUGAAAUAUAAAUAAUCAUUGUAAAUUUACUUUAUGCCUUAGUAUUCCAAAAUUCAGAAGCUUCAACCAUAAAUCGCACCCCAUACAGUCGGUAGAGUUUACAAAAAUGUCAGUUGCUAUCAACUUAAAAUUAUGAAAAUCGAAUUAACCUGAGAAAUUAGACUUUUAAAUCGAAGUCCAUGUUUAUAUCCUGAUAUAUUGCUUCUAGCCCCAUAAUGUUUUAUCCAGAGUUGAUUCCUAUCAUUAUUAUUUAGUGUUCUUUUUGGCCAUUCUACGUGCCAAUACAUUCCACAUAUUAAUCGUGAUCGUCCUUGAGCAACUAUAUCACCUCAUUUUACUUAUUGACCAUCCUUGAGCGACUAUAUCAUCUGCUAAUGUAAGUUCGAAGACACAUUCUCGCACUCCAGUGAAGCACUAGAAAUGUGCAAAUACCAUCCGAAUUGGUGAGCCUAUCAAUGAUGAUGUUUAGUUACUUACAGUCAAAAUAUUGCCAAGGUCUUGUCACGACUUAGACAAAUCUUAUUUUGCUAGAAACUUCGUAGACUGGAUUUUAAAAAAUAUUUGUUAUAAUGUUUUAUUCAAAGUGAGAAUUCUAUUUCAUUUAGUUUAAAAGACUUUCCUUGAUUUUCAUUGUACUUCCACACUUGAAGUCAGAUUACACCUUCCUGAUCCGACAUGCCCAUUGCGGUCAGAACCUCAGCUCGAAUCCUGACACCUAUCAAGUUUACAUAAAAACCAACCAUUUGUGCAAAGGACAGACUAUAUAAAAUUGAAAGUAAUUAUCUUUUUCAUGUGUAUACUAAUAAAUGUUGUAUUGUCCUAACUUUUGUGUGCAGACAUACAAGAUAACUUUUGGUCUCAUAUGUCCCAAGUGAAAUUAAACAUGGUAAGAAGUUUAGAUUGCAAGUUCAAGACCCAUCAAUUUACAAAAAGCUAAACAUAAUCAUGUUAAAGAUGAUGGCAACUUGUCAAACUCCAGAAUCAAUACACAUCCAACCCAACAUUGUAGAAUUUGUGAUCCUUCAAUUAUUAUUCAUGCAAACACAACUUCAUAAAUUAAAUUAGUAAGAGAGUAUGUAUCAUUGUUUACUGAACCGUUCCAUCAUGAGGGGUCAAGUGGUUCACCCAAUAACAAUGCAAUUAUAAUAUCCCUGAAGUUUACGAGAGAUCCAUUCACAAAUUAAGGCAAUAGAUCCCUGCUUUUUUCAUCAGGUUUUGUAAAUCUAUAUCAAAAAAAAAAAAAGAACUAGUACUACAUUGAGAAUACGAAGCUCAGAAGCUGAGCGUAACAAGCAAAUUUCAUCGAAGAUCCAAGCUUUAAAUAGAUCUCCUUACAUGUUGGCACCUCAUCACCGCAAAACAAUUUGAUAGUUAAAACAAUUUGGCUACUUUAAAUUUGAAGGAAUGUUGGGGGUAAACAACAACAUCCUCCAAUCGUGAUAAGUAGCAACGUAUAGGCACCGUGCAAAAGGUAAUUUCUUACGGGAAUAAGAAGAAAGUACCUGUUGUCUGAGAAAUGCCAUAUACAAAAUAGAGCAACAAAUACAAAUAUAUCCAAGAUAUUGUGUCAAGAGAGUAUACAAUAACUCAAAUGGAUCUUCAUAUUGUAUAUUAAUUCAUUUAGGCUUCAUGCUGCAGACGGGUUACCAUUAACCGGCACCGGCUGCAGACUCUUUUUUGAAGCCCAGUCAUUAAAGGAUUUCACAAUGCAGAUCUUUUUAAACAAUUUUUCUCACAAUAAUGUUUACUUUGAAGAACAAAAUGACACUAAGUGAACCAAUCAAAAACUACUGAGUUUUGUAUUUACUCUAAUAAAAUGGAUUUAGAGAUUACAAGUAACAUAGAUUCAUCUAUUAAAUGUUUACUCAAAUUCACUUUGUGAACUAAAAAAUUCUUUUGUACUGCAAGUCCGCAGGUGCAAACUAAAAUAUUAAACUACUUUAUAUUUGCAAUUUAUCAACAAUAUUAGCAAGAGUUUUUCCAAUGUAAAAUCAUACGACAACAACAACAUACCCAGUAUACUCCCAACAUACCAAGGUCUGUGGAGGGCAAGUAAAGUGCACACAGUCCAUACCACUACCUCCAAAGAAUUAGAGAGACUGUUUCCGAUAGAUCCAUAGCUCGAGACAAAAGAAACAAUAAACAAAGCCAAAAUAAAACAUAAAACAAGAUGAAAUGAAAGAAAUAAGACACCAACAGAGCAACUAUACACUAUUUAACCAAAAGCACACACCACACCCAAACCUCCAAUCUAAGAGCAUAGCUCUACAAUUACUAGCAUGACUACACCAAAGCAAUUCUAUCUACUAGCUACAACACACUCCCACAAACUAGCCCUCUAACCUAAUUCGCGUACUUCAUACCUUCCUAUCUACGGUCAUGUCCUUAAUAAGCUGUAAUUGCUCAAUGUCAUGUCCAAUCACCUCCCUCCAUUGUAAAUUCAUGCAAAGUACAUAUGUUGAUGAUCCAAGUUUUUAACACUAUUCUCCCGUAUGGGCAAAUACAACUAGCCAAAAUGCUAAUUGGAAUUAUUCUCCACUUGUGCUAUAAUUCAACAAAAAAGAGCUUAACAUACCCUUGACCAAUUCAAAUUGGGACAAAAUUACCCUCCAUCACAUCUAUUAGACCUCAAAUAUUCAUUAAUAUUAUUAGAAAUCAUAAUUUGUAAAACAAUCAGCAUACAAAAUGCUUAGGAACAGAGAAAUAACAAAGCUGCUCAGAUAUUGCAAUUAACUAAUCAUGUAUUUAACAUAAGUCCAGACAUAAUUUUAGCAAAUUCAUCACUGCAACCAGAUAAAACUACAAAACUUAAUUAAUAAAUACCAAAAUUUGUUAGUAAUAAAUAAGAGUAGCAAUCAACUCUCAGAGAAAUUCCAUAAAUGGAAGUUUGUGCAGACAAUCAACAUGGCAUCGUUUGAAUCGUGUGAAAUGUACAAGCACAUACUUUAAUGGAGGUCCACUAGAGAAACGCACGAACUACUUACAUCGCAUUUGUUUCUCUGAAUUAAAGAGUGUACAGAUAGAGCAGCAAGAAUCUGCAGUCAUGGGUGGCUGUCUUUCUGUACUCGAUGUUCUUCAACAAUUCUACUCUCCUGCAGCAUAUCUGCUUUUGAUGCCUUCAGCACUAGUCCUAUCCCAAACACUUUCUUCUUCUGCUUUAUUCUCAGUUGGUGUUUUCUUUGGAACAAGCUGUCCCACCUGGGCAUACUUGUCCAUAAAUUUAUAUUCCCAGUCUUGCAGAAUUUCAAGUUGAGCAUCACUUAGGCCUUCAAGGUUCCCAUUAAUAUCUUCAGGUUUGAAUGAUAACUGAGCUAAGGCUCGGCUUGCAUCUCUUCCAGCAAACAUUGCAUAUGAACCACCAGGACCAUAGAACAUCUUGGAGGUAGAGACAUCGUAGAUCUUUCCUUUGAUAGCCAUCAACAAUGGUUUUUCUGAGUCAGAGCCAUUAUAAGCUCUAAGUUCCUCUUCCGUCAUGUUGCCGAGGUGGAGAGGCUGUCUUUUGAUGGGAACAAAGUCAUCAGCAGAGAAGAACAUGCCACAAACAACUUUGUAAGUCACAACCAUCAACGCUACAAUGGUGAAGAACGCUGUCGGCCAUAACCCCGUGUACUGCAAGAUGAUCUCAGUCAUUG
rnacentral:lncRNA from 1 species